GCGGAAACGUUUGCAAUGCGGCAAAAUGAGACGCGGUAAGGGUAAAUUAUGUAUUGUGGAAUACACAAUUUCGGAUAGAUUGAAAUUCUUAUUCUUUGUUCUCUGUUCCCUGUUCCUUUUAUUGUGCGGAGCCUCUAACCAAUAAACACAUUAGGAGCUGUAAGCUUAUUGACUACCGCAUCACAUUUUGAGCGUAGCAAGCAUUUCCGCGUCCAGUGUGCAGAAGCCAUUAGUUGAUGUUUAAAAUCAGAUAAGGCACUUUACACGACACAAUUAAUAUAAUUAUCGUCAAAAAUUUAUUGCGCGUGCUGCUAACUAAUUUAUAUGAGCGAUAUUCGAGAUAAAGGGAAAGUUCUUGAUUGUAUCAAACUUCGAAUGUCAAAAAGACCAAUUAAUUAGAAAAGAAGGACAACUCAUAGUUGGAAGACUGUCGUCAGAUGUUGGAUAAAAUAUAAAACACCAUUGAUUUAUCCAUUAUCUCCAUGUAUUAGAAAAGGAGGGACUUCUCUUACCUUAAAAUUGUUGCUGAAUUGACGUUUCAAUGACAUUCCGUACACGGAGAAAAAUAUUUGAUUGAAUUAAGAAUGUACGAUCGAUCACUUGCGGGCACUUUAGGAAUCCUUAAAUCACUUCGACAAAGGUGGUCUACUCAUCGCUAUACUGCAUAUGUUUCGAGUACCAAUCUAAACGGUGAAACCAACUGAAAGCUGAAAGAUGAUCGCUCCGUGUUCUCCACCGCGAAAAAUGGCGAUUAAGCACUUUUGAGCUGACGCACUGUCUAAACAUUUUGAUUGUUGCCACGCAGUGCGGCACGUGUUAGCUGUGUUAUUCGUUUCGCCCAACAUGAGCUUUGCAAGCAAGCAUAGGAGCAAAAACGAUCUCAUUAUUGAUGUCUCACCGAAUAAUAUUACAGCGCGACGACAGCGGCGAGUGUUAGAAUUUCGGACCUGGCAGAAAGAUAGACGGAAAAGAGGAACGACGAAAGAUGAAGAGAAAGAGAAAGACGGACAUCUUGAUAAAUGGAAAAAC
rnacentral:lncRNA from 1 species